GUGAAACCGCGAAUGGCUCAUUAAAUCACACCUAAUCUACCGGAAUGAUACGACGUUACUUGGAUAACUGAGGUAAUUCUUGAGCUAAUACAUGCGAGAAACCUCGACUCACGGAGAGGUGCUUUUAUUAGAUCAAAACCAGACGGCGUUGCGCGGGCAACCGUGCGCGCCGGCAACCUUGGCGAUUCUGAAUAACUUUGGGCUGAUAGCAUUGCCUUGCGCAGGCUACGUUUCCGUCGAAGGUGUGCCCUAUCAACUUUCGACUGUGUCACAGCUGGGCACAGUGGUUUUGACGGGUAACGGGGAAUCAGGGUUCGAUUCCGGAGAGGGAGCAUUAAAAUCGGCUACCACAUCCAAGGAAGGCAGCAGGCACGCAAAUUACCCAAUGGUCGCAGACCGAGGUAGUGACGAAAAAUAACAAUACCGGACUCUUCCGAGGCCCGGUAAUUGGAAUGAGUACACUUUAAAACCGUUCCCGAGGAUCUAUUGGAGGGCAAGUCUGGUGCCAGCAGCCGCGGUAAUUCCAGCUCCAAUAGCGUAUAUUAAUGUUGUUGUGGUUAAAAAGCUCGUAGUUGGAUCUCGGCAGGCAGCCGGGCGGUCUGCAUCGCUGCAGCCACUGCUCCGGUCGUUUGGUUACGUGCCUGUGUAUUUGUUUGCUGGUUUGCCUGGCCGGUGAUCUUGAUCGGUCGUCGGCCCAGGGUCAGCAGUUUUACUUUGAAAAAAUUAGGGUGCUCAAAGCAGGCUUUUGAAGCUUGAAUAUUCGUGCAUGGAAUAAUGGAAUAGGAGGUCGUUCCUAUUUUGUUGGUUUUCGGGAACCGACUUAAUGAUUAAAAGGGACUGCUCGGGGGCAUUUGUAUUCAGGCGCUAGAGGUGAAAUUCUUGGACCGCCUGA
rnacentral:rRNA from 1 species